rnacentral:misc_RNA from 1 species
GAAGCUGAUAAAGCCUAAGCAGGUUUAGCCUAUCCUUUAUUACUUAUUAAUCUUGUAAUUUCCAUAAAUGGAAGUUUGUGUCUAUUCUUGUUGACGGGCUCUUACUAUCCAUUUCCCUUUCACCACCUUUUAGCUCACCUAAAUCUUGCAUCUCCUGAACUUGCUUCCUGAUUUAGGAAUAUUGAGUUUUGUUUUACUUUUUUUCAGGUAUGGAAAAUGGUCGUCCAA